AUGGAGCCUUUCAAAAUGGGCAUCUGUACAACAUUAUCCAGUCAACCUUUAUGGCUGACAUGAAGAACAUCAUGAGAAGUUCACUGGAGACGCAUCAACCACCAGCAAACAACAACUCUGCCCCUAUUUACUCAACUGGGCAGGCAACCACUUACUUAGCUGAUGGAUCCUUCUUGAUUGCUCUAUUAUCUAGCUUUCAUUCUCACAUGGUA
rnacentral:lncRNA from 1 species